GACAAAGAGAGACUCCAACUCCCUUGUCAAAGAACAGAAAGUUCUCACUUUGGGGUAGCGGGAGGGAGGGAGGGAGUUCAGGAGCCUCUGGUUUUACCUAAACACAGGGGGCAUCUGCGGCUCCUGUGCUUUCCUGGAUGUGAGGAGGGGUGUGAGUCCGGGGGCCUCUCUGAGGGAGACAGCCGUGGGAGGGUGAAGAUGCGGUUCCUUUUCCUCCCCAGGGCCCCCACCCCCUGUCCCAGCGAUCUCGACACCAGAGACACUGCAGUGACGCGCCUCUGGGGCUUUCACACAGCGGGCUCGUCCCCGCGGGUGCGCUGUGCAGGCGGUCGGCAUGCCUGCUCUGUGGCAAGGUCAGAUUUAACUUGCUAAAUGUUACAGCGAACUUCAACUCUAAGACAAGACCCAGGGCCAGGCUGCAGGCCGAGAACUGCUCAAAGUCCCCCACAUUUGCCUCUGACGAAGGGAGAUGUGAUGAAGAGAGAAAUCCCCACAGGGUCUUCCCUAGUUCAGCAAUCCCCGAAGCAAGAUGUGAGGACCCUUCCAGAAGGAGGAUCACUGAAUCAGACCAUCCCAUCUGUCCCAGAGAGACGGCUGAGUGCCAGGAAGAAAAUGCAGUAAGGCCAAAAAAUGAAAGAUGUGAUAUAAACCUUACAAAAGAGGAGGUAAAACGUCUGUUUGCGCACAGCUGCUCACCUGGAGGACUCAACUCAAGCCAGCAGACUGCCUGGUCAGCGGACUCCCCAGGUGCGACCAGAGCAGGAGGCGCCCGCACCUUUCACACCAGGUGGAACCUGGCACUGACCCCGACGUUUAGAACAGGCUGGCCCCACGGUAGGCGUCAGAAAAUAUUUCCUGAUGUACUAAAGAAGCCACCAUUUAAUGUCCUGAAGUGUGAUUCAUGUGGAAGAUGUAAUAAUUCUGAACCUAAAUGCACCCCAAAUCAUACAGAUGCCUCAAAACAGAGCAAAAGUGGACAGAAUCCUCACCAGGUGACAGGAGGCAGCCCCAGUGACAGCAGGAGUUUCUGCAUGCACCUCUCACGAGUGAGCAUUAUAGGAACGAUUCGCUUAGAAAGUGAAAUUCCUGCAUAAUAUCAUCAUCUCAGGCACAAGCUGCAAAAUGGUUGGAAAUACCCAGAUGUCCUUUCAUUGACCUCAAGAAAUCACUGCAUUCUUAACAAACCCAGAUACUUCCCGG
rnacentral:lncRNA from 1 species